UACGAAGGGGGCUAGCGUUGUUCGGAAUUACUGGGCGUAAAGCGCACGUAGGCGGAUAUUUAAGUCAGGGGUGAAAUCCCAGAGCUCAACUCUGGAACUGCCUUUGAUACUGGGUAUCUUGAGUAUGGAAGAGGUAAGUGGAAUUGCGAGUGUAGAGGUGAAAUUCGUAGAUAUUCGCAGGAACACCAGUGGCGAAGGCGGCUUACUGGUCCAUAACUGACGCUGGAGGUGCGAAAGCGUGGGGAGCAAACAGG
rnacentral:rRNA from 1 species